UACGUAGGUGGCAAGCGUUUGUCCGGAUUUACUGGGCGUAAAGAGCGCGCAGGCGGUCGUUCAAGUCGCGUGUGAAAGCCCCCGGCUCAACUGGGGAGGGUCACGCGAUACUGAUCGACUCGAAGGCAGGAGAAGGAAGUGGAAUUCCCGGUGUAGUGGUGAAAUGCGUAGAUAUCGGGAGAACACCAGUGGCGAAGGCGACUUCCUGGCCUGUUCUUGACGCUGAGGCGCGAAAGCUAGGGGAGCAAACGGGG
rnacentral:rRNA from 1 species